rnacentral:lncRNA from 1 species
UUCACUAUUCCCUGGCCAUGACAGUUCCAAAGAAAAGGAAUUGAACAACCUGAGUGAUUGGAAGCAUUCCUGUGGCAAAAGAGAAAGCCAAGACUGUGUACCUGGAAACGAGAAGGGGUGCAAGGCAGCCAGCUCAGUCUCUGAAUCUUCGAAGAUCCAGCAUGGAGAGACGAGGCUUGUUUGCCCACCAAGUAUACUGCUCCUCAUUAAACUGAGAAGACGUCCACCAUCGUGCUAUCUGCAGGGAGGUAUUCACCAGAAGUCAAAUUGAUGGAGUCUCCUGAUCUUGCACUUCCAGCUUCCAAAACUGUGAACAAAAUGAACCUGUUUUCUUUAUGAAGUUCCAC